UACAGAGGUCCCAAGCGUUGUUCGGAUUCACUGGGCGUAAAGGGUGCGUAGGCGGUCGGGUAAGUCUAACGUGAAAUCUCCGGGCCUAACCCGGAAACUGCGUCGGAUACUAUUCGGCUAGAGGAAUGGAGGGGAGACUGGAAUUCUCGGUGUAGCAGUGAAAUGCGUAGAUAUCGAGAGGAGCACCAGUGGCGAAGGCGAGUCUCUGGACAUUUCCUGACGCUGAGGCACGAAAGCCAGGGGAGCAAACGGG
rnacentral:rRNA from 1 species